rnacentral:lncRNA from 1 species
GGCAUCGCCAAAGAGGACGCCGCCCAGGGCAUCGCUAACGAGGCCGCCGACAAGGGCAUCGCCAACGAGGAUGCCGCCCACGGCAUCGCCAACGAGGACGCCGCCCACGGCAUCGCCAGCGAGGACGCCGCCCACGGCAUCGCCAGCGAGGACGCCGCCCACGGCAUCGCCAGCGAGGACGCCGCCCAGGGCAUCGCCAACGAGGACGCCAUCCAGGGCAUCGCCAAGGAGUACGCCGUCCACGGCAUCGCCAACGAGGACGCCGCCCAGGGCAUCGCCAACGAGGACGCCGCCCAGGGCAUCGCCAACGAGGACGCCGCCCAGGGCAUCGCCAAGGAGGACGCCGCCCAGGGCAUCGCCAAGGAGGACGCCGCCCAGGGCAUCGCCAACGAGGGCGCCGCCCAGGGCAUCGCCAAAGAGGACGCCGCCCACGGCAUCGCCAACGAGGACGCCGCCCAGGGCAUCGCCAACGAGGACGCCGCCCACGGAAUCGCCAGUGAGGACGCCGCCCACGGCAUCGCCAGCGAGGACGCCGUCCAGGGCAUCGACAAGGAGGAUGCCGCCCAGGGCAUCGCCAACGAGGACGCCGCCCAGGGCAUCGCCAACGAGGACGCCGCCCAGGGCAUCGCCAAAGAGGACGCCGCCCACGGCAUCGCCAACGAGCUGUAUACGACAUCGCUAACGAGGACACCCUACAAGCCGUCGCUAACAAGUACACUGUACACAACAUCGCUAAUGAGGGCACUGUACAAGACAUCACCAAUGAGGGCGCUUUAUACGACAUUGCUAAUGGCACCGACAAGGCACGCUAACGUGGACGCUGUACACGACAUUGCUAAUGAGGACAGCGUAUAAGACAUCGCUAGUAACUAUCGCAAGAACAAAAAACCAAACACCGCAUAUUCUCACUCAUAGAUGGGAAUUGAACAAUGAGAUCACAUGGACACAGGAAGGGGAAUAUCACACUCUGGGGACUGUUGUGGGGUUGGGGGGGGAGGGAUAGCAUCGGGAGAUAUACCUAAUGCUAGAUGAUGAGUUAGUGGGUGCAGCGCACCAGCACGGCACAUGUAUACAUAUGUAACUAACCUGCACAAUGUGCACAUGUACCCUAAAACUUAAAGUAUAUAUAUAAAAAAAAAGACAUCGCUAGUGAGCACGCUGUAUACGACAUCGCUAAUGAGGACACCAUACAAGGCAUCGCUAACGAUGACGCUGUACACAACAUCACUAAUGAUGACACCGUAUAAGACAUCGCUAAUUAUGACGCUGUAUACGACAUCGCUAAUGACACCGUACAAGGCACGCUAACGAGGAUGCUGUACACGACAUCACUAAUGAGGACAGUGUACAAGCCAUCACUAAUGAGGACACUGUAUAUGGCAUCGCUAACGAGGACACUGUACAAGCCAUUGCUAACGAGGACGCUGUACACAACAUCGCUAAUGAGGACACCAUAUAAGACAUCACCAAUGAGGAUGCUGUAUAUGACAUCGCUAAUGGCACCCACAAGGCAUGCUAACGAGGACGCUGUAGACGACAUUGCUUAUAAGGACACCGUACAAGACAUCGCUAACGAGGACGCUGUAUACGACAUCGCUAAUGAGGACGUUGUAUAUGACAUCGCUAAUGAGGAUGCUUUACAAGACAUAGCUAAUGAGGUUGCUGUAUAUGACAUCGCUAAUGAGGACAUUGUAUAUGACAUCGCUAAUGAGGACGCUCUAUACGACAUCACUAAUGAGGACGCUGUAUACAACAUCGCUAAUGAGGACGCUGUAUAUGGCAUCGCUAAUGAGGAUGCUGUAUACGAAUUCGCUAAUAAGGACGCUGUAUAUGACAUUGCUAAUGAGGACACUGUACAAGACAUCUGUAAAAAAGAAGAUGCUGCCAAUGAGCCAUUGACACUGGAGAAUGAUACGUACCCUGAAAUAACUCACUUCCUGAGGAAAAAGCGCCAUCUCUAGGAUUUGAUUGUGGAGAGCAUAUCUGAUGAUGGGGAUUUGUAGGACUUUAAAAAGCACUCAUGUUUCCAUCCUCACUGUUGACUCCUGGCUUAAAGGGAUCUCCCGGGGUGAGUGAGGAGGCGGGAUCGGACCCUGGCAGUCUGACGGCAGCACCUGUGUUCCUCUGCACUGGGCCGUGGAUGACAUUACAUACCUUGCCACUCCCACGGUCCUGUGUGUUCCGGAUAUUUUAAAAUAAUGGCUAUAAGGUUGAGCACUUCAGGAUACGCUGUUUUGCUGUGUGCAGAUGGAGGCAGUGGCUGGAGUGAAUGAACGGCAACACUUGCUGGCAACCGGCAGAAGCUGAGAGACAGGGAACAGGCUCUCCUCCAGAGCCUCCAGGAGCCAGGCCUUUGGACAACUUGAAUGUGGGCUUCUGGGAGACCAUGCGUUUCUGUUAUAAGCAGCCCAGUCUCUGGCAGUUUUUACGGCUGCCCCGGAACACUCAUCUAUACCUGUCUGACAAGGUCAAGCUCCAAGGAAGGGACUCUCUACAUAUCUACAUUGUUUGCAGAUUUUACAAUAAUCAUUUAUUCUUGCAUGGCUGAUCAUUGUUAACCAAUACAAAUAAAAUAAUAAAGAAAUGACCCAC